UACGUAGGCAGCGAGCGUUGUUCGGAAUUACUGGGCGUAAAGGGUGCGUAGGCGGUUGUUUAGGUUUGGUGUGAAAUCUCCCGGCUCAACUGGGAGGGUGCGCCGAAUACUGAAUGACUAGAGUGCGGGAGAGGAUAGUGGAAUUCCUGGUGUAGCGGUGAAAUGCGUAGAUAUCAGGAGGAACACCGGUGGUGUAGACGGCUAUCUGGACCGUAACUGACGCUGGGGCACGAAAGCGUGGGUAGCAAACAGG
rnacentral:rRNA from 1 species